rnacentral:rRNA from 1 species
ACGUAGGGUGCGAGCGUUAAUCGGAAUUACUGGGCGUAAAGCGUGCGCAGGCGGUUUGCUAAGACAGGUGUGAAAUCCCCGGGCUCAACCUGGGAAUUGCGCUUGGGACUGGCAGGCUGGAGUACGGCAGAGGGGGGUGGAAUUUCACGUGUAGCGGUGAAAUGCGUAGAGAUGUGGAGGAACACCGAUGGCGAAGGCAGCCACCUGGGCCGAUACUGACGCUCAUGCACGAAAGCGUGGGGAGCAAACGG